UUUCAGGGGAAGGAACCUGGGCCGAGGCGCUCCCUCCCGGAUCGUUUUCCCGUCAGCAGCCUCCGUCGACACGGGAAAGCGGUAGCCCGCCCGCCGGCCCCACCCGCCACCAGCUGCAGGGCACCGCGCCAGACACAGUAGGAUGCAGUGGAAGCGACAUUCUCGGACUUUCACGCUCAAGCCCUAAGAGGUCUGGCAGCUUCUGCUUUCCGCUCUGGGAAGUCAGCCUCCAUGCAUUAAAGAAGCUUGGGUUACAUUGCUGAGUGAUGAGACACAGCACAUGAGUGGUGAGGCAACGUGCAAGAGAGGCCUUCUUGGACCUUCCAACCCAGCCCAGCCACAAGGUGAAGGCAGCUGAGUGAGUGACUCCCACCAAAUCACAUGGAGCAGAAGAUCUACCCAGCUGAGUACUAUCCCCGUUCCUAACCCAGAGAAUCACGAGAAGCAGACACUAAAAGACCACGACAUCCUCUGCCUUCCUCUGUUCACUCGAUUAUCAUAAUUAAGAAAUCAAGACAUUAGACUACGGUUAGGCUUCAGAAGAACAUCAAGGAAGCUCGUCAACCAAACGGUUCCAUGUUUGUCAACAGCUCUCAUCAAGACAAGGUGGUUUUCUGCUUCAAACUUGACACUAACACUGAGGUGGGUCAAAAAGGAUCUUGCUGUGAUUUAUGUCAUAGAGUGUUCUAAGGCAGCUGAGUUUUGAAAGCAACUACACACAGAAAUUCUCAGGCAACAAAUCUCUCUGAGCACGUUCUUCCUCCUUCGUAAAAUGAAGAGAAUCCCCCAUGCCCUACUUUUGCACAAGAAUGUUUGCGGGGGGAAAGAAAUCAGACAACGAGGAACACGAAUUGAACGUUUCCCAUGAUCUAGAUCCUCUUCAUGCGUUAUAAGCGUCAUCCCACCAAAUCCUCAUAAUGACUUUAUGAGAUAGGCCCAGAGAUCAGACUGAGGCUUGGAGAAGUUCAAUGCCCAGCCCACGCCACAUCAAGAUGUGAACUGACUUCUAACUGCUAAGCUAGUUGACCUCCAAUACAAGAUAUACGAAAACAGCUGUUAAACGGUAAAACACUAGGUCAGUGUCAAACAUCACUAUUAUCAAAACUUCCUAGCUGUGAAUCUUUAUUUAAAAGUUACGUAUGUGUGUAUGUGUAUGUGAACAUCUCCAUAUGUUAUUUUUAUAAGUUUCUAUCUGUCGAUUUGGGGGAGGGAUGAUGUU